UCUCAAAUCGGACCGUGACUCCCAAUACACGUUUUCGAGCGCGUUCAAACCAUCUUUUCAUCCACGCCUUGUCGGACUUCGGCAAAGAUCGACUCAUAGCUUUUGGGGUCCCGUUUUCGCGCCCGGCGCGCACCGAAACACCCGAAUGCUCCCGAACUUCACCGGAAUUAUUCCGAUAGCAUUCGUUUCCAAACUAGCAUACCCCGUAAUUUCAUAAC
rnacentral:lncRNA from 1 species